AGUGAACGCUGGCGGUAGGCCUAACACAUGCAAGUCGAACGGCAGCACAGUAAGAGCUUGCUCUUACGGGUGGCGAGUGGCGGACGGGUGAGGAAUACAUCGGAAUCUACUUUUUCGUGGGGGAUAACGUAGGGAAACUUACGCUAAUACAGCAUACGACCUACGGGUGAAAGCAGGGGAUCUUCGGACCUUGCGCGAUUGAAUGAGCCGAUGUCGGAUUAGCUAGUUGGCGGGGUAAAGGCCCACCAAGGCGACGAUCCGUAGCUGGUCGGAGAGGAUGAUCAGCCACACUGGAACUGAGACACGGUCCAGACUCCUACGGGAGGAAGCAGUGGGGAAGAUUGGACAAUGGGCGCAAGCCUGAUCCAGCCAUACCGCGUGGGUGAAGAAGGCCUGCGGGUUGUAAAGCCCUUUUGUUGGGAAAGAAAAGCAGCAGGUUAAUACCCCGCUGUUCUGACGGUACCCAAAGAAUAAGCACCGGCUAACUUCGUG
rnacentral:rRNA from 1 species